UACGAGGGUGCAAGCGUUAAUCGGAAUUACUGGGCGUAAAGCGCACGUAGGCGGCUUGGUAUGUCGGGUGUGAAAUCCCCGGGCUCAACCUGGGAACUGCAUCCGAAACUGCCUUGCUAGAGUAUGGGAGAGGGAAGUGGAAUUUCCGGGUGUAGCGGUGAAAUGCGUAGAUAUCGGAAGGAACAUCAGUGGCGAAGGCGACUUCCUGGACCAAUACUGACGCUCAGGUGCGAAAGCGUGGGGAGCAAAACGGG
rnacentral:rRNA from 1 species